AAACUUUCAACAACGGAUCUCUUGGUUCUCGCAUCGAUGAAGAACGCAGCGAAAUGCGAUAAGUAGUGUGAAUUGCAGAAUUCAGUGAAUCAUCGAAUCUUUGAACGCACAUUGCGCCCUCUGGUAUUCCGGAGGGCAUGCCUGUCCGAGCGUUAUU
rnacentral:rRNA from 1 species